rfam:Cucumis sativus cultivar 9930 chromosome 1, whole genome shotgun sequence.
UGGAAGAACCUGUAAAGCUCAGGAGGGAUAGCGCCAAUUAAUAGUACAAAAUAAUUUUCGUUCAAAGCUUCACACUUUGCUUUUUGUUAAUGGCGCUAUCCAUCCUGAGUUUCAUAGCUUCUUCUU